AUACUUAUGUGGCAGGGGAUAUGCCGUGACCGUGAACAUUGUUUCCCAGUGCAAGGCCUAUCCAUUGCACUCUCUAUGCGCUGACCCCACAAUUUCCCCAUAUGUGGGAAGCUUAACUGCACAAUUUGUGGCAGUGGGGGACUGUUUAAGCGCUCUCCAC